UUUAAAAUAUUAAAAUUAUAAUUAGAAAAAAGUAAAGGGAGAAAACGACUGGGACACCUUGUGGUGGAGGUGGAAAACUUAACUGAAGUGCGGGCUGAAUCCCAAAUCAAUUUGUAAUCAACUCCCAUUAAGUUCACCUGCUCACCUGGAGGACAAGAUGGCGGCCGUUUCAAAGUACCGGACUUCUAAAAAUGUACAAACGGGAGCGAUAUUAACUUUAAUUAUACUUUUAAAAAAGAAAUAAGUAUAAUAUACUGUAGUUGUAUCAUUGCAGCUUCGGUCAGGAUCAGAUUUUAAGGAACAGGAUUUAGUUUGCUGGGAGUCACAUGGGAACAUCCCGUUGCUCCAGUCUUCGUGAACUUCAUCUUCAAAGAAGAAAAAUGCUUGGGAAAUACAUUUUACGGGUAAGGUUGUCCUGCAGAUGAGGAACCCUUCUGAUCAGAAAAAAAACAUCUGUUGCUUUUCUUCAUUAAACUCUUUUAUGUGAA